ACGACGACCACCGAGCGCCACCCGACCAGGAAGGGAAGCCACCCUCGGUCGGACUCGUGACAGCCACAUUGUAACGAUUGUCAUCGGGAGAAUGAGAAGAGGACCAAAGUGUAGCGUGACGGCAGGUUGUAUCUAAUGAAGUCCGGGACAUCGUCGUUGACCAUGUGGUAAGAGGCUGACAGAUUAGUUCACACCAAUCUGAAAAGAUCAACUGUCAAUUCGAUCAUGAGAAAAUUUCGCCAAGAAAACUGAAUUGACAGGAGAACACAUGGUGGUGGCCGUGUGCUGACCGACCAGCAGGACUGGACAGUGGUGGAAAUGAGGAUGAUGGCGCUUGAUGCUGCUGUGAACCAUCACAAGUAUAUCUUUGUUGAUGAAGUGGGCUUCAACCUGGCCAAAACUCGGCACCUUGGGCGGAUCCUCAUCGGCCAACGGGCGACUGUCCAAGUGCCUGUAAAACGUGGGGGAAACAUCUCUAUGCGCGCAGCCUUCUCUGAAGAUGGUGUGGUAGGCCAUUACUUGGACCAUACAAUGCUGCACACCUCAUUGUGUUUCUCAAUAAAAUUGAGCAGGCAGGCAAGGUGAAGGGGUCACCUAUGUCAUUGUGCUCGACAAUGUCAGGUUACACCAUGCUGAAUUGGUUCAGGCUGUUGGGCCCAUCCCCGAUUCAUGACCCUAUACCAGCCCGCAUACUCUCCUUUCCUCAAACCUAUUGAGUAUUUUGUUUUAGUAUGGAGGUGGAAGGUGUACGAUCGACAUCCCCGUGAGCAUGCCACCCUCCUUCUGGCCAUGGAUGAGACAUGCAACGAUAUUAAUGCAGACCAAUGUCAGGCUUGGAUUCGCCAUACAAGAAGGUUUUUCCCACGGUGCAUGAACAAUGACAUUCACUGUGAUAUGGAUGAGAAUUUAUGGCCAAAUGCUCACAGUCUUAAUGCAAAUUAAUGCGUGC
ensembl:lncRNA